rnacentral:rRNA from 1 species
UACGGAGGGUGCAAGCGUUAUCCGGAUUCACUGGGUUUAAAGGGUGCGUAGGUGGGCAGUUAAGUCAGUGGUGAAAUCUCCGAGCUUAACUCGGAAACUGCCAUUGAUACUAUCUGUCUUGAAUAUCGUGGAGGUAAGCGGAAUAUGUCAUGUAGCGGUGAAAUGCUUAGAUAUGACAUAGAACACCAAUUGCGAAGGCAGCUUACUACCCGAAUAUUGACACUGAGGCGCGAAAGCGUGGGAUCAAACAGG